CACUAUCGUUAACUGAAUACAUAGGUUAACGAGGCGAACCGGGGGAACUGAAACAUCUAAGUACCCCGAGGAAAAGAAAUCAACCGAGAUUCCCCCAGUAGCGGCGAGCGAACGGGGAGCAGCCCAGAGUCUGAAUCAGCUUGUGUGUUAGUGGAACGGUCUGGAAAGUCCGACGGUACAGGGUGAUAGUCCCGUACACCAAAAUGCACAGGUUGUGAACUCGAAGAGUAGGGCGGGACACGUGGUAUCCUGUCUGAAUAUGGGGGGACCAUCCUCCAAGGCUAAAUACUCCUGACUGACCGAUAGUGAACCAGUACCGUGAGGGAAAGGCGAAAAGAACCCCGGCGAGGGGAGUGAAAAAGAACCUGAAACCGUGUACGUACAAGCAGUGGGAGCACCUUCGGGUGUGACUGCGUACCUUUUGUAUAAUGGGUCAGCGACUUAUAUUCUGUAGCAAGGUUAACCGUAUAGGGGAGCCGCAGGGAAACCGAGUCUUAACUGGGCGUUAAGUUGCAGGGUAUAGACCCGAAACCCGGUGAUCUAGCCAUGGGCAGGUUGAAGGUUGGGUAACACUAACUGGAGGACCGAACCGACUAAUGUUGAAAAAUUAGCGGAUGACUUGUGGCUGGGGGUGAAAGGCCAAUCAAACCGGGAGAUAGCUGGUUCUCCCCGAAAGCUAUUUAGGUAGCGCCUCGUGAACUCAUCUUCGGGGGUAGAGCACUGUUUCGGCUAGGGGGUCAUCCCGACUUACCAACCCGAUGCAAACUACGAAUACCGAAGAAUGUUAUCACGGGAGACACACGGCGGGUGCUAACGUCCGUCGUGAAGAGGGAAACAACCCAGACCGCCAGCUAAGGUCCCAAAGUCAUGGUUAAGUGGGAAACGAUGUGGGAAGGCACAGACAGCCAGGAUGUUGGCUUAGAAGCAGCCAUCAUUUAAAGAAAGCGUAAUAGCUCACUGGUCGAGUCGGCCUGCGCGGAAGAUGUAACGGGGCUAAACCAUGCACCGAAGCUGCGGCAGCGACACUAUGUGUUGUUGGGUAGGGGAGCGUUCUGUAAGCCUGCGAAGGUGUGCUGUGAGGCAUGCUGGAGGUAUCAGAAGUGCGAAUGCUGACAUAAGUAACGAUAAAGCGGGUGAAAAGCCCGCUCGCCGGAAGACCAAGGGUUCCUGUCCAACGUUAAUCGGGGCAGGGUGAGUCGACCCCUAAGGCGAGGCCGAAAGGCGUAGUCGAUGGGAAACAGGUUAAUAUUCCUGUACUUGGUGUUACUGCGAAGGGGGGACGGAGAAGGCUAUGUUAGCCGGGCGACGGUUGUCCCGGUUUAAGCAUGUAGGCUGAUUGUCCAGGCAAAUCCGGAUAAUCAAGGCUGAGGUGUGAUGACGAGGCACUACGGUGCUGAAGUAACAAAUGCCCUGCUUCCAGGAAAAGCCUCUAAGCAUCAGGUAACAUUAAAUCGUACCCCAAACCGACACAGGUGGUCAGGUAGAGAAUACCAAGGCGCUUGAGAGAACUCGGGUGAAGGAACUAGGCAAAAUGGUGCCGUAACUUCGGGAGAAGGCACGCUGGUGUGUAGGUGAAGUCCCUGCGGAUGGAGCUGAGACCAGUCGAAGAUACCAGCUGGCUGCAACUGUUUAUUAAAAACACAGCACUGUGCAAACACGAAAGUGGACGUAUACGGUGUGACGCCUGCCCGGUGCCGGAAGGUUAAUUGAUGGGGUUAUCCGUAAGGAGAAGCUCUUGAUCGAAGCCCCGGUAAACGGCGGCCGUAACUAUAACGGUCCUAAGGUAGCGAAAUUCCUUGUCGGGUAAGUUCCGACCUGCACGAAUGGCGUAAUGAUGGCCAGGCUGUCUCCACCCGAGACUCAGUGAAAUUGAACUCGCUGUGAAGAUGCAGUGUACCCGCGGCAAGACGGAAAGACCCCGUGAACCUUUACUAUAGCUUGACACUGAACAUUGAGCCUUGAUGUGUAGGAUAGGUGGGAGGCUUUGAAGCGUGGACGCCAGUCUGCGUGGAGCCAACCUUGAAAUACCACCCUUUAAUGUUUGAUGUUCUAACGUUGGCCCCUGACCGGGGUUGCGGACAGUGUCUGGUGGGUAGUUUGACUGGGGCGGUCUCCUCCCAAAGCGUAACGGAGGAGCACGAAGGUUAGCUAAUCCUGGUCGGACAUCAGGAGGUUAGUGCAAUGGCAUAAGCUAGCUUGACUGCGAGCGUGACGGCGCGAGCAGGUGCGAAAGCAGGUCAUAGUGAUCCGGUGGUUCUGAAUGGAAGGGCCAUCGCUCAACGGAUAAAAGGUACUCCGGGGAUAACAGGCUGAUACCGCCCAAGAGUUCAUAUCGACGGCGGUGUUUGGCACCUCGAUGUCGGCUCAUCACAUCCUGGGGCUGAAGUAGGUCCCAAGGGUAUGGCUGUUCGCCAUUUAAAGUGGUACGCGAGCUGGGUUUAGAACGUCGUGAGACAGUUCGGUCCCUAUCUGCCGUGGGCGCUGGAGAAUUGAGGGGGGCUGCUCCUAGUACGAGAGGACCGGAGUGGACGCAUCACUGGUGUUCGGGUUGUCAUGCCAAUGGCACUGCCCGGUAGCUAAAUGCGGAAGAGAUAAGUGCUGAAAGCAUCUAAGCACGAAACUUGCCCCGAGAUGAGUUCUCCCUGAGACUUUAAGUCUCCUGAAGGAACGUUGAAGACGAUGACGUUGAUAGGCCGGGUGUGUAAGCGCAGCGAUGCGUUGAGCUAACCGGUACUAAUGAACCGUGAGGCUUAACCUU
rnacentral:rRNA from 1 species